rnacentral:lncRNA from 1 species
AGAAGGCACUGAAAACUCACCCUUUUAUCAAGUCUGCAUUUCAUAAGAAAGAAGAACAAUUGUGGAGGGAGGAUUUCUGAUGAUAUGUUUAUAUACUUUAUAAGGACAGUUCCCAAACCAGCGUUGCAGAUUUAAUAGCUGUUCUUACAUGGGCAGGGGAAGGAGAACCCUAAGUGCUGUGAAGUCAUGCAAAUGCAAGAAUCAGCUGAAAGAGGAUGUACAGAUUGGAAAGUUGCUGAUGUGAAUAAAAAAGAGAAACUGAAGGGAAGCCUUUUAUGCUGAGGAGAAAUGGGCAGUAGCUCCAUGUGGCAAGAUUGUAGACAAGACCACACUUCUCCAAUGUAAUAAGACUUUCUGAAGCUCAGAACUCAUGAGUGGUCAACACCACCACACAACAAAAAGCAAACAAAUAAGCAAAGGUUUGUAAAAUAAAUCAAUAUCAAUUAAAAAAAAAAAUCA